AUACUUACCUGGCAGGGGAAACACCAUGAUCCCGAAGGUGGUUUUCCCAGGGCGAGGCUAACCCAUUGCACUGCGGGUGUGCUGACCUCUGAGAUUUCCCCAAAUGCGGGAAACUCGGCUGCAUAAUUUGUGGUAGUGGGGGACUGCAUGCGUGGUCUCCCCUG
rnacentral:snRNA from 1 species